rnacentral:rRNA from 1 species
CCGUGCAAAGGUAGCACAAUCACUUGUCUCUUAAAUCGGGACCUGUAUGAAUGGCAUCACGAGGAUUUAACUGUCUCCCUUCAUCAAUCAGUGAAACUAAUCUCCCUGUGAAAAAGCAGGAGUAUAAAUACAAGACGAGAAGACCCUAUGGAGCUUAAAACUAAUAACACUUGCUCUUUAUUCCCUAUUCCAGAAUAAUAAUCUUAUAGCACCGUGAUUAUAAGUUUUUGGUUGGGGUGACCAUGGAAAAAAACUAAACUUCCAUGCUGCUUAUUAAAUUUAAGAACUUCAUUUCUACAAAUCAAUAAAUUGACAUAAUUGACCCAAAUACUUGAUCAACGAACCAAGUUACCCUAGGGAUAACAGCGCCAUCCACUUCAAAAGCACAUAUUAACAAGUGGGCUUACGACCUCGAUG